rnacentral:tRNA from 1 species
GUGAUUAUAGCUCAAUAGGUAGAGCGUCAAUCUGUGGAGUUGAAGGCCAUGAGUUCGAUUCUCAUUAAUCACC